GACAGAGGGUGCAAACGUUGUUCGGAAUUACUGGGCGUAAAGCGCGCGUAGGCGGCUUUGCAAGUCGGGUGUGAAAUCCCCAGGCUUAACCUGGGAACUGCAUUCGAGACUGCAUUGCUAGAGUAUGGGAGAGGGAAGUGGAAUUUCCGGUGUAGCGGUGAAGUGCGUAGAUAUCGGAAGGAACAUCAGUGGCGAAAGCGACUUCCUGGACCAAUACUGACGCUCAUGUGCGAAAGCGUGGGGAGCAAACAGG
rnacentral:rRNA from 1 species